CGCCGCCGCAGAUUCGACACAAAACCCGGAAGGACCCCGCCGAAGGUUUUCUCCGGUUCGGGAGAGAGACGGAGUCCCGCUCUGUCACGCAGGCUGCCAGGCUGGCGUACAGUGGCGCAAUCUCAGCUCGCUGCAACCUCCACCUCCUGGGUUCAAGCGAUUUUCUUGCCUCUGCCUCCUGAGUAGCUGGGAUUACUGGCACACACCACCAUGCACAGGUAAUUUUUUUAUAUUUUUUAAUAGAGACAGGGUGUUGGCCAGGCUGGUCUUGAAAUCCUGACUUCAGUGAUCUGCCCGUCUUGGCUUCCCGAAGUGCUGUGAUUACAGCCAUGAGCCACCGUGCCCGGCCAACUCUUCUCAGUUCUAAGUGUCCUAACACCCUUCAUCUCCUGCUGACUGCAAGGCAGUUCUCAGGGAGGAGCCUGGAUUGUGUCCAUGUAUAAAGAAAGACUCUGCUGCUGAUGUGCAAAGGAAUGUGGAUGUGAUAGUUUCCAGCCUGAAAGUCCCCCUCUUUUCAUCUCCGCAGUAUAGUUCUUAGAAACAACAAGCCUUGCUUUUACAGUGAGUCCAUAUCUAAAACUUUAUCUGAACCCAAAAUACCUGAGAUAGGUCUCAGUCAAUUUAGAGAGUUAAUUUUGCUAAGAUUAAGCAUGUAUCCAAGACAGCUUCAGGAGGUCUUGACAACGUGACAACAUGUGUCCAAGGUGGUUGGGGCACAACUUGGUUUUAUACAUUUUAGGGAGAUAUGAGACAUCAAUCAAUAUAUGUAAGAUGUACAUCAGUUUCGUCUGGAAAGAUGGGACAACAUGAAGCAGGGAGGGGGCUCCCUGGUGACAGUUCCUUGUUCAAAAUGCCAAGAACCUGGAUGACUCAUAGUCAAGACCCUCCACCAGUAACAUAUAUUGGCGAGCCAGCCAGGAGCUUGGAACCCUCGGUGGACAGUGCCUAAGCACAGAGGCAACCACAGGUUUCUAACAGGGCCACUCUCUGGUGAAACUGAAAGGUUUCUGUGUGAAAGUGCCUGACCACCACUGCCCAAUUC
rnacentral:lncRNA from 1 species